GAAAGGCAGAAGCCUCAAGCUUGCCCGACUGGGCAGAGGGAUCCUCCUCCUGGCAUCACUGGAAUCUGUGCUUCACCGAAUAUAGAGACCUCCUGCCAUCCUUUGGGAACAGGCUUCUUUAGGUGAUACUGGACAACUUUUGGACUCCUGUUCUAAGGAACCUCCAUGCAGCCUCAUUCAGGUCUCUCAACAAUUCAGUCCAAAUUCCUGAAUUAACUAACCUCUUCUUAAUUCCUUGUCAUAGACAAUAAAUUGUCAGAUCUCAUUUUCUAGGCUAAAAAGUCUUUCUGACAAUAUAAAAACUGCUGACACUAGAUUCAUGUUCAAUAACCAUCCAUAUGAGCAACCUCUCAAAAUAAUUAAGUGCUGCAGUGAUAAAGAACAAAGACCAUUCAGUAGUGUAAUUAAUUUGCUGCAUUCAGUUGCAGCAUUCCUGCAUGCCUUCCUUCUAAUACAUUCUUAGCCUAACAGCUAUCACAAGUCCUGAGUUCCAGGUUGUCCAAUACCCUUCUGAAAGGGCUGAUUCUGGCAUUCUGCCCCAGUCACAUUUGGAAUGCUGCAGAGCACAGCUUAACAAACAUCUGUUGGGCCAAGCUUUUUUGUUGACCAUGGGUGGCUAACUGGUUAGAACAUCCUGAUUCCUUUACCAAGUAUGUCUAGCCUUGUGAUUUUUUACUGUGCAUGUAACUUGAAUGCUUGUAGCAGACAGCAUGUCUAACAGUGCAGUUAUGUUCCAGCAUUUGGAGUUAAUUCUCCCCUCUAAGAUAUUUUCCAGCAUAUUUGAGCCAGAGUUUUUGUUUUCAAGCCCACUGUCAUAUAUAUGUGUGUGUGUGUGUGUUUUCUGGGUGACUAAAGACUUGUAUGCUUCUUUCCUACCUUAUGUUGACAACAGAACUUUGAAUAGAGCACUACAAGUGAC